CGUCGGCCUCGUGCGGGGCCUUCCCUUUGGGCGGGUUUAAAUCAAAACAAGCGGCCGAGCUUCGGGGGGCGAACGAGGCCGCUCGGCGUCGGCGGUACCUGCUCCGUUCCCGCUGUCUUCCUCUCGCCUUGGAUGCGUGACAAGAGCCAACUCGCCUCUGGUGGGCUCUGGGAGCCGCGGGGCUGUAACCCUUUGCAGGAAGUUGGCACGGCUCCCAGGCCCGGCGUUGCCCCACACUGUUGCCCAUGGGGCUGCCCCACGCGCUGCCGCUCUUGCACACGUACCAGUGAAGGAUGACCUGGGCAACACCGAGAACAACAACUUCCUGCUCCGGCUCCCUCCAACGCCUGUUUCCACGCGG